CUUCCGUGUUUUAUGUAUGUCCAGUUGAGGUCAUGUGCUUUCGUUGAAUCGGACGGGUCAUAAUACAUCAAAAUAAAAUUUAGGAAAAAAUGAAUACCGGAUUAAGGACGGUGAUGAUGGCUUUUCUUGUGAUAUCUCUACUGACCAGCCAGGUCCAUAGCAGAAAGCUAGCUCUUCCACUAGGGUCCGGUUUCAUUAUUUCAAAGCUGAUUCAAAGUACACCGGAAUUCCGUCGUGGUACAGAGGCCGGCGAGACCUUCAAUGUCCUGAAGUGGUGUUGGUUUGGCUACAGAGCGGCAAAAUUUCUCUCAUAACAGCCAUGGUUGUCGGUACCGGUUCCGAGGUCCGAAUAAUCGCAGUCGACUAUUUAUCACUCACAGACUUCUGUGAUUAUUUGUGUUACUGUGCUGCCAUGUUAUUAGCCUGUUAGUCCGUGUUAGUCCAUUACAACAAAAUAAACGUUACCUCAUAAAGAA